rnacentral:rRNA from 1 species
UACGUAGGGUGCAAGCGUUGUCCGGAAUUAUUGGGCGUAAAGAGCUCGUAGGCGGUCUGUCGCGUCGGAUGUGAAAAUCCAGGGCUCAACCCUGGGAUGCCGGUCGAUACUGCCGGACUAGAGUUCGGAAGAGGCGAGUGGAAUUCCCGGUGUAGUGGUGAAAUGCGUAGAUAUCGGGAGGAACACCAGUGGCGAAGGCGGCUUUCUGGCCUGUUCUUGACGCUGAGGCGCGAAAGCUAGGGUAGCAAACGGG